rnacentral:rRNA from 1 species
AGCGAACGCUGGCGGCAGGCCUAACACAUGCAAGUCGAACGGACCCUUCGGGGUUAGUGGCGGACGGGUGAGUAACACGUGGGAACGUGCCUUUAGGUUCGGAAUAGCUCCUGGAAACGGGUGGUAAUGCCGAAUGUGCCCUUAGGGGGAAAGAUUUAUCGCCUUUAGAGCGGCCCGCGUCUGAUUAGCUAGUUGGCGAGGUAAUGGCUCACCAAGGCUACGAUCAGUAGCUGGUCUGAGAGGAUGACCAGCCACAUUGGGACUGAGACACGGCCCAAACUCCUGCGGGAGGCAGCAGUGGGGAAUCUUGCGCAAUGGGCGAAAGCCUGACGCAGCCAUGCCGCGUGGAUGAUGAAGGUCUUAGGAUUGUAAAAUCCUUUCACCGGUGAAGAUAAUGACUGUAGCCGGAGAAGAAGCCCCGGCUAACUUCGUGCCAGCCGCCGCAGUAAUAC